UAAACAACCUGCCUUCAGGAUGGGGACAACAGACGGAAACGACUGCUAAUACCGAAUAAGUUCCAAGAGCCGCAUGGCCCAUGGAAGAAAAGGUGGCCUCUACCUGUAAGCUAUCGCCUGAAGAGGGGUUUGCGUCUGAUUAGCUGGUUGGAGGGGUAACGGCCCACCAAGGCGACGAUCAGUAGCCGGUCUGAGAGGAUGAACGGCCACACUGGAACUGAGACACGGUCCAGACUCCUACGGGAGGCAGCAUG
rnacentral:rRNA from 1 species